ensembl:rRNA 5S_rRNA 5S ribosomal RNA
UACAGACAUACCACCCUGAACAUGCAUGAUUUCAUCUGAUCUCAGAAACUAACCAGGGUCAAGCCUGGUUAGUACUUGGAUGGUACAUAUACUUGUAUCAUUUGUAU